rnacentral:rRNA from 1 species
GACGAACGCUGGCGGCGUGCCUAAUACAUGCAAGUCGAGCGAAUCUUUAGGAGCUUGCUCCUGAAGAUUAGCGGCGGACGGGUGAGUAACACGUGGGCAACCUGCCUGUAAGACUGGGAUAACUUCGGGGAAACCGGAGCUAAUACCGGAUAAUCCAUUCCCUCUCAUGAGGGAAUGCUGAAAGACGGCGUCACGCUGUCACUUACAGAUGGGCCCGCGGCGCAUUAGCUAGUUGGUGAGGUAACGGCUCACCAAGGCAACGAUGCGUAGCCGACCUGAGAGGGUGAUCGGCCACACUGGGACUGAGACACGGCCCAGACACCUACGGGUGGCAG